rnacentral:rRNA from 1 species
GACAGAGGCCUCGAGCGUUAGGCGGAAUCACUGGGCUUAAAGCGUGUGUAGGCGGGGCCCCGUAAGUGUCUUGUGAAAAUCCCCUCGGCUCAACCCGAGGAAGUGCAGUCAAAAAACUAGUAGGCUAGAAGAUGGCAGAGGAAAGGUGGAAAUUUCCAAAGUGUAGAGGGUGAAAAAUUUCGUAGAUAUUUUUUGGGAAGGGAA